rnacentral:rRNA from 1 species
UACGGGGGGAGCAAGCGUUGUUCGGAUUUACUGGGCGUAAAGGGCGCGUAGGCGGCCACCGCAAGUCGACUGUGAAAUCUCCGGGCUUAACUCGGAAAGGUCAGCCGAUACUGCGGGGCUAGAGUGCAGAAGGGGCAACUGGAAUUCUCGGUGUAGCGGUGAAAUGCGUAGAUAUCGAGAGGAACACCUGCGGCGAAGGCGGGUUGCUGGGCUGACACUGACGCUGAGGCGCGAAAGCUAGGAGAGCGAACGGG